GCAGCGUGCGGUAUGUGAACCCACGAGGCACUUGGUUCAUCAAAAACCUACAAUGGUAAACUUUUGUGCUGUGUUAGGGUGUUCUAACAAAGCUGAUGGGAAAGGUGAAAAGAAGUCUUUCUACAGAAUACCAGCUGUGAUUGAGACACAAGCAAACCAAGGAGCUUUCUGCCGGGAGACAGAGAGAGGAUUUAGCUGCUUUAUGCAGAGCGGAUCUGAAUACUUCAAGUCUAUUUUGUUACUGGCAUGAUAUAAAAAAGGGCCAGUACGUAUACGUAGCGAUAUGUCGUUGGAUGUCCCACGCUGUCCCAUAAUGCAGUGCGAUUACCACUGCUGUUUACUGGAUGACGUCAUUUUCGUUAUAUACCUGGGUGCACGUGAAACUCCCACACCACUCGGUUGGAUCGCGACUCUCUUGUGGAUCGGCCUGCUGUUACGCUUGGACCAUUGAAACAACAUUGAGAAAAACACUGGACCACGCUACAUUUUCAUUCAUCCCUGGACAUCUGGUGUCUACCUUAGCCCUUUGUGGAGGAACCGACGUAGGGG